GCAAUUCCUCUACUUUGAAGAAGCCAUACUCAAAGACCCGCUUGCAGCGAAGGAAGUUCAGUUCUCGUUGCUUCUCUAGAGACAGAUCCGCCCCGUAUGAGCGGGCAAAGAGAGGGUCAUUCUCCAAAGUUGAGAAGAUGGUUUUCUGUAAACACAGAGCACAGGGUGCUAACUUGAAAGUCAAAGGGAUCCCAUGGUACUGUCACCUGCAUAGAAAACCAAACCCUCCGUGAACAGCCACACAACAUCAGAACAAGAGGAAACCCGGGGGCUGCAAAGCAACAGGAGCAGCACAGACGGUGGAGCAUCAGCCUGGAGGCCACUGGACGCAGAAGCUGUGACUUACAGGUUCCUGUGCUGAUCUGUACUCAACACUCACAAAGCAGUUCCCACUUUUAAAAGUGUCCAUUGUUAUGCUGGGUAUAAUGAACUGACCUAUGGUCCUGGCUAAUGCCAACACUGAGUCAGGAGGACAGCGUUCAAGGGCAGCCUGAUCAACUGAGACUCAAAGGGAGAACUAAGGUCUCAGUGUAGAUCAGCGGUAGAGCACUUAAGAGUUCGCUAGGUCCAGAGUUCAAUGUACUUGAGAAGUAUAAAUAGUGUCCUGCCCGGGCACAGCGGGGAGCAGUCCUCUGACACUACAAAUUCAACUCACAGCUAACUUUGUUCUGUCUGUCUUGGGAUACCUCCCGGCCCCAGGGCAGACUGUAAAAAGCUACGGUCAGUUCGUUCUCCCACUGAGUAUCAUGUAGGGCAGAGUGCAAACGCCAGCAGUCAGUCACCCCAGCCUGAGCUCCUGCAAACCCUUCCUGUCUGGAAUCUCCCGGGCCCGGCAUGUCCUCACCUCCUCCUGGAUCCAGCUUGGGAUUCUUGGUCCUAGUCAACCUGGAGUUUGGCUAUUUAUCAGGAAUAGCCUGGCUUCUGAGGGCGGAGCAAGCUGGUGGUGCCGCCCCACCCCACCCAGCCCCACCCCGUCCCAUCCCGGACGCCAUUCCUCCCGUGACUGGGGUUGCUGCAAGCUGAAGCCCUGCGUCAUCAUUCCGCGCCGCCUCGUCGCCAGGGAAACGCGGACGCUCCCGAGAGCUCGGCUCAAAUGCGGUUCCGGGUUUGGAGUUUAAAGGAUUUCAUCCUGGUUGCCUUCUGCCGAGUUAGAGGCUUCCGGCUUAUUCAGAAACCGCCUUCGGUCAGAGCUGUCGUGUUUAGGUCCAGGCCUCUCGUGGCUCUGGGAGCACUUCCAGAAGAAUUGGACCGCGGAUCCAUUAAGGUGCACUUUACUCAGAAUUGCUCCUAUUUUUCCCGGUGGCCUCCUUGCUAGGCACUCCUAAAUAGUGCUCUGGUUGGCAGAUUCCAGAAGUCACUACAGAACUGCUCAGCGCAGCCCUGACUAGGUGUUUCUGAGCAAGCGGAUGCAUGUCCAGCUAGGGCUUUCAUCACUGAUGUACAGCCGAGAGGAAGUGUGUGCCUGCGUGGGUAUAGCUGAUACCUUUGAAAGGGACUAAAAUGAUGGAUAAUGGAGUUAGGGCCAGAGAAAGAUGCUGAAUUCCAUUUCAAGACACAGAUUUAAGGCAUUGAGACCAGACACAAGAGGACUCUGCCGCUGCCAGCUGAGGCUGGGAGCUGCUUGCCUAACUGCAUAACUACUUUGUCCGCAACAAUUAUUGCAUUUAUGGUUCCGACUCAGAACACACUUGCAGUCACAGGUGUCAGUGGGGGCUUUCCUAUUGGAAAGUAGGGAGUCCUGCACAUGGGUCAUGAACUCAUACUGGAGAGGACUGACUCCAGAAAGAGAUCCUUCAGGAGCAUUUCCUGGUACAUUUGUGCCUGCACACACUACAUAAUAAUAAUAAUAAUAAUAAUAAUAAUAAUAAUAAUAAUAAUAACCAACAAUUAAUAGUACUUAUUAAUAAUAAUAAUAAUGAUAGCAAAGGGAAAUGACUGAAGGGAGGGCAGCCUAAGGAAUGUGAUUGUUCCCACCAUAAACACUCACCAAAUAAACUCAGAUAAACCAAGAACAAAUGCAUCCUUCUCACCUGGGGUGCAGUUGUCACAAUGCCUCCCCAAGCAGGGGAACCCAGCAGCAAGGGCAGAAGACAGCAGCCGCCAGCCCUGCAUGCCUCACUCUAGUCUAGCUGAAAAGUUUCCAGAAUCAGAGCAGCACUCCUACCCAGUCACCUUCAUAGUGCCUGAACAGCUGGUAAGAAUGUCUUCUGCCUUGCUGAGCAGUCCCAAUGGGCAGUCAGUCUCCACCGGCAUUUACAACCUGAACCUGUCAUUGCAAGGAGUCCUUGAGUUCACAGGGCCGCCCAGAAUGGCCUGCAAGCAUGCAUGCUAUUGUUUUUCCAAAGCCAGAGAGGGACGAGGUACCCACUCACUACAGAAUUCAUAUGUAACUCAAGUUUUGUCCAAACACAGCUAAUAAGAAGUCCGAUUCCUGUGUUAACAUGAGGAAAACAUUGCUUCCUUGGGAAUUAUCAGUUUAGAUGAACAGUGGGGAGAUUGACUCCCUAAAAUUAAGGUUUUCCUCAGCAGCAAUGGCAUUGCUGUCUGGGCUGUGUGAGCCAUGAUGGUUCAUAGGCAUAUGAGCAGAGUGGGAGUAUAAGGAUUGUUCUAGGGGUUCUUUGGGAAAGUAGGUUCUUACCCCCGAAGACAAAAUGGGUGGUGUCCCUCUGAGGCUGGUGGCAGUUGUUGGACCAGCGUCCUUAGAGAAGGAUGUUUGUGCCGUGCUGUGAUUUUGUUAAGAGGCAAACAUUACCUAGAGUCAUCCCCAGG
ensembl:antisense